ACGAACGCUGGCGGCGUGCUUAACACAUGCACGUCGAACGGAAAGGCCCUGCUUUUGUGGGGUGCUCGAGUGGCGAACGGGUGAGUAACACGUGAGUAACCUGCCCUUGACUUUGGGAUAACUUCAGGAAACUGGGGCUAAUACCGGAUAGGAGCUCCUGCUGCAUGGUGGGGGUUGGAAAGUUUCGGCGGUUGGGGAUGGACUCGCGGCUUAUCAGCUUGUUGGUGGGGUAGUGGCUUACCAAGGCUUUGACGGGUAGCCGGCCUGAGAGGGUGACCGGCCACAUUGGGACUGAGAUACGGCCCAGACUCCUACGGGAGGCAGCAGUGGGGAAUAUUGCACAAUGGGCGGAAGCCUGAUGCAGCAACGCCGCGUGCGGGACGACGGCCUUCGGGUUGUAAACCGCUUUCGCCUGUGACGAAGCGUGAGUGACGGUAAUGGGUAAAGAAGCACCGGCUAACUACGUG
rnacentral:rRNA from 1 species